rnacentral:rRNA from 1 species
UUGACCUCAAAUCAAGUAGGACUACCCGCUGAACUUAAGCAUAUCCAUAAUCGGAGGAAAAGAAACUAACAAGGAUUCCCCUAGUAGCUGCGAGUGAAGCUGGAUAAGCUCAAAUUUAAAAUCUGGCGGUCUUGCAGCCGUCCGAGUUGUAAUCUGGAGAAGCGUUUAUCCGCGUCGGACCGUGUACUACUCUUCUGGAAUGGAGCGUCAUAGAGAGUGAGAAUCCCGUCUUUGACACGGACAAUCCGUGCUUCUGUGAUGCGCUCUCGAAGAGUCGAGUUGCUUGGCAGAGCAGCUCAAAUGGGUGGGAAAUUCCAUCUAAGA